AUUGAACGCUGGCGGAAUGCUUUACACAUGCAAGUCGAACGGCAGCACGGGGGUAACCCUGGUGGCGAGUGGCGAACGGGUGAGUAAUACAUCGGAACGUGCCCGGUCGUGGGGGAUAACGUAGCGAAAGUUACGCUAAUACCGCAUACGAUCUGAGGAUGAAAGCGGGGGACCUUCGGGCCUCGCGCGAUCGGAGCGGCCGAUGUCAGAUUAGGUAGUUGGUGGGGUAAAGGCCUACCAAGCCGACGAUCUGUAGCUGGUCUGAGAGGACGACCAGCCACACUGGGACUGAGACACGGCCCAGACUCCUGCGGGAGGCAGCAGUGGGGAAUUUUGGACAAUGGGCGCAAGCCUGAUCCAGCCAUUCCGCGUGCAGGACGAAGGCCUUCGGGUUGUAAACUGCUUUUGUAUGGAACGAAAAGGCUCUGGCUAAUACCUGGGGCUCAUGACGGUACCGUAAGAAUAAGCACCGGCUAACUACGUG
rnacentral:rRNA from 1 species